rnacentral:pre_miRNA from 1 species
AUGAACCGUCGCCUUCUCCGGUGAGAAGGCGGACUGCCUUCUCACCGGAGAAGGCAACUGGGCUGC